rnacentral:rRNA from 1 species
CCUACGGGGGGCAGCAGUGGGGAAUAUUGGACAAUGGGCGAAAGCCUGAUCCAGCCAUGCCGCGUGUGUGAAGAAGGCCUACGGGUUGUAAAGCACUUUCAGUGGGGAAGAAAGCCUUGGGGCUAAUACCCUCGAGGAAGGACAUCACCCACAGAAGAAGCACCGGCUAACUCCGUGCCAGCAGCCGCGGUAAUACGGAGGGUGCGAGCGUUAAUCGGAAUUACUGGGCGUAAAGCGCGCGUAGGCGGUCUGAUAAGCCGGUUGUGAAAGCCCCGGGCUCAACCUGGGAACGGCAUCCGGAACUGUCAGGCUAGAGUGCAGGAGAGGAAGGUAGAAUUCCCGGUGUAGCGGUGAAAUGCGUAGAGAUCGGGAGGAAUACCAGUGGCGAAGGCGGCCUUCUGGACUGACACUGACGCUGAGGUGCGAAAGCGUGGGUAGCAAACAGGAUUAGAUACCCCAGUAGUC